UACGGAGGGUGCAAACGUUGCUCGGAAUCAUUGGGCGUAAAGCGCACGUAGGCGGCUCGUUAAGUCGGGUGUGAAAGCCCUGGGCUCAACCCAGGAAGUGCAUUCGAAACUGGCGAGCUUGAAUAUGGAAGAGGGUCGCGGAAUUCCCGGUGUAGAGGUGAAAUUCGUAGAUAUCGGGAGGAACACCAGUGGCGAAGGCGGCGACCUGGGCCAAUAUUGACGCUGAGACGCGAAAGCGUGGGGAGCGAACAGG
rnacentral:rRNA from 1 species